rnacentral:lncRNA from 1 species
UAUUGUUUGGGGCAGGGUAGUUUAAAAAUUUUCAAAUGUGUUUUGCUUUUGACAUAUUUCUUAAGUUUUUAAGGGUAAGAAUGUGCUCAAUGUUUAACUUUGAAAUAAUGUUAGUAACAUCGUAGAACUCAAGUUAUUGUAGAAUAGAAAAACACCAGUAAUUCCUACCAAAGACCCUGAUCUUUUUGACUGUUUCUCUUAGUCUUGAAAGAUACUAUUAAAUGCACAUUAAAACUGAGAAAUAUUGAAUAAAACCCUUAUUGAACCUGGAACUACAUUACUCAUUCCAGCAACAUAAUUCCCAUAUCUGAUUCUAGAUUUUAACUGUAUAUUUUAUUUGAAAAAAAUUUAGUGGCCAAACUGAAGCUAACCCUUUAUUGUGGAAAUCUUUAUGGAACAAUGUGAUCAUCUAAGAAAUAGAGGUCUUAAGAAAAUCAAAAACCCCAAAUUGAGGAAAUCUAGACAUACAUUUUAAACAUUGGACAUAAUAUAGUUUGUGUCUAGUAAUUAAAUGGCCCCUCUUCUAGAUGUCACUGUGCUAUUAUAGUUCCGCUAUUUGUAUUUAAUGAUUUUUUUAAAAUGUUGUAAGUAAUUCAGAUGUUUUAUUAUUUUUACUUAUUUUAUAAUAUUAACUUAAAUUGUAUGCCCUACAGAAUCUGACUUUGUUAGAUUUUGUGUGGACAUGGACCUUAAUAAUUCCUGAUUCCAUUAACAAGGAUACUAAAUUAUAUUGUUACUUUGGGCUUUGUCCUUUUUUCCUGCUGUCAUGUGCCUUUGGAUUACAUUGUGUUUCUAGUCUUACUUUUUAAAAAGUUCUUUAUAUGUAUUCUUAUAUUUUAAAAAAUCAUCAUAAAACUUUUACUCUCUUCUCCAAAGUUUUCUAUGCUGGAUUAAGUGAAAAGUUACUUUAUGUGCAGUUCCUGUAUCUUAUAGUCACCCCUCCAUAUGAUGUCUAGUUGUUCUGCUGUCCUAUUAUUUACCUUAUUCCUCAGCACAUAGAAGUGGGCUAUAUGGAAUCUUAUUAGUAUCAUUUGGUGAUAGUUACUCUAAAACCUAGAAGGAAGUGGAACACUUAAGUUUCUUUUUUGGCAUUGUAAUUCAUGUUUCCUUUUUGGAAUACAUUUUAUAGCUUUUCAUUAGUAAUUGUUUAUUGACUGCUUUAUGCACAGUGAGAGUUUAUAACUUUAUUAUUCUAGUCAUCUAAGGAUUGAUAGACUUUCAGAAAUGGCAUGCUAAGUCUUCAUUUAUUCCCUGCUUUACAGGGAGAGAGAAAUGGCAGCUGUAUAUGUGGAAACAAUUUUGGUCAAGCCCACUGGUAAAGUAGCCAGCAGACAUAACUUUGGGGAAUGCUCAGAGGUGUGCUGUCUGUGCUGCUAGAAUCACUUGGGCAAAAACAGUAGAUGGGAAAGGGCAGCCAGUAGACCUCUUACCCUACAAUAUCUUUGUUUUUGUGGCUGAAUAUUUUCCCCAUAAUUCUUUUAUUGGCAAUGAAAAUGGUCUUGUUAUUUAUGUCCAAAUUGAAUGACUCAUUCUGUCAUACCUGAACAUAAUUUUCUAUAGCCAAGAUGGU